ACAUAAGCCGUAGCCUACAAAUGUGUGUGCACACACUAGCCUACACCAUUUGAGAGGUGCAAACGAAUGUUUAAAGGCUUAUUUAUACAGUCGACUGGUAACUUUAAGGUCUCAAGUAUGUGCAAGAUCUGUCUCAGCAAGGUCACUGGAAUUGUGAUGGUCUCAAGUAUGUGCAAGAUCUGUCUCAGCAAGGUCACUGGAAUUGUGAUGUCAAAAAACCUUGUGAAUGACUACCAGUCACUCUGAAUUUGCCUUUGGGCAAUGCAAAAUGACUCUCACAAAGUCAAAAAACCUUGUGAAUUCUCUCUCUCUCUCUAUCUCUCUCACACUCUAUCUCUCUCUCACUCACACUCUCUCUCUCGCUCUCUCUUUCUGACUUUGCCUUUGGGCGAAAACAUGACUCUCACAAAGUCAGAAAACCUUGUGAAUUGCUAUACCAAAAGCCUGACAAUACCAGUCAAUGACAUACCAGUCUUCUCAGUCACUGGGGCCUCUGGCCUUGGAUUCCUGUGUUGUGCUGCACAACCACCGUUGGAAUCCACCAGUGGUUUCCUGAGAACUUGACGCAAGUGCCACGAUGACCUCUAACGGAGCCUUUGGCUAAGUCCUCUUUCUCUCAUUUCUUUACAUAUUGUGUUUGUUAUGACAUAUCUGCACUGUUAUGUAAUAUUAAAUGAAGUAAAUAAUUAGCAUUACAGAUAUUUUAUGUAGAUAUUUAGACUAGCGGUAGUAGUAGCGGUAGUAGUUUAUCUAUGUCUUCUUGCUGUCUGGACAGAACAAGUCCAGGGGGUUCUCAGGCAGCCAGAGGUCAGAUAAUGGUUCCCACCAUGAGAUGGAAUGGGAGGCUGUGGGUGAUCUGGAUGACAUCAACAUGAUCCAGAGGAUGUGCCUGAGUGAGGAGAUGGACUGGACACCUCAGAUGGGUCCUGUGGAUGAGGUCACCCGAUCAUUACAGAGUCUGUGCUUGGCUCCUCAGGAAGAGCAGAUGGACUGGAUGCCAGAAGAUGCCAGCUGUGGCUUGGUAGAAUCAUUCCAGGGCCUGUCGCUGGGAGCUGUUGAAGAGGAGAUGGAAGCUGAUGAAUGAGACAUUCGAUUAUUUUUGUCAAACUGUAAAUGUGUAAAUUAUUGUAUAUAUUUAAAUGUUUUGUAUGUCUGCAUAUAUGCGCUCAUAAUAAAUUAGCAAUAACAAAGACGACCUCCGAAGAGGGGGGGGGGUGGGUCAAAAAAAGGAUGAAAUGAAAUGUUCAAAUUAUGUAUAUUUGUAAUUCAUUUUAUAAAUGCAUUAAGAUUAUACACGCUACAAUAGACAGCUUGAACUGCAAAGCUUUAUGGUGGUGUAGAAUUUUCUCCACAACUUUUUGAUUUAUACCCUUACACAAAUGAAUAAACUGGUAGCACCUUAUGUUUUAAAAGA